rnacentral:rRNA from 1 species
UAGGGAAUCUUCCGCAAUGGACGAAAGUCUGACGGAGCAACGCCGCGUGAGUGAUGAAGGUUUUCGGAUUGUAAAGCUCUGUUGUUAGGGAAGAACAAGUACCGUUCGAAUAGGGCGGUACCUUGACGGUACCUAACCAGAAAGCCACGGCUAACUACGUGCCAGCAGCCGCGGUAAUACGUAGGUGGCAAGCGUUGUCCGGAAUUAUUGGGCGUAAAGGGCUCGCAGGCGGUUUCUUAAGUCUGAUGUGAAAGCCCCCGGCUCAACCGGGGAGGGUCAUUGGAAACUGGGGAACUUGAGUGCAGAAGAGGAGAGUGGAAUUCCACUUGUAGCGGUGAAAUGCGUAGAGAUGUGGAGGAACACCAGUGGCGAAGGCGACUCUCUGGACUGGAACUGGCGCUGAGGAGCGAAAGCGUGGGGAGCGAACA